rnacentral:lncRNA from 1 species
ACAGCAGAGCGAAGUGGAUUUAUUCCAGAGUUUGACCGUGCUACUAUCGGUAGUAAACUGCUCGAUUUACUACCAAUUUAUUUUAAUGAUGGAGCUUCCAAAUCGUCAAUCGGUAUCGUUGAACAUGAUUUAGACCAUUUAAAUUAUCUAGAAAUCAAAUUUUAUGAUUUUUUGGCAUCACUAACUGAACAAUCAAAGAGUCACAAAAUCUAUAAUUUUGAUGGCCGAUAUGGUGCGUUUACUCGUUUAACGGUAUAGAAGAGUUCAAAUCAACUAAAUUUUUAUUAAAAAAUUCUUUAAACUAUUUAAAAUAAGAUCUAGACUCUAGAUCUCAAAUAUAAAAAUUAUAUCAUCAUUUUUUGAAGGAUAUUCAUUUCCAGCUAUUCAUUUUUUGGUUCACUUGAUGGACAAAAGAACAAUAUCGAAAAUGUGUAAAAUUUGAUUUUCAGAUAGUUUAAAUAGUUUAGAUCAUAUUUAACGGUACCGAUCAUCAAUUUGGAAGCUCUAUCAUCGAAAACAAAUCGGUAGUAAACCGAGUCGUUUACUACCUAUAGUAUUCUAGCAAAACUCUUUAUUCCAUGCUAAAUAGAUAUAUUUUUGGAUAUAAAUGUCAAAAUAAAAAUUUGACCAAUUUAGAUUCAGAUGUGGAUUUAGACUGUAUCUGAUCCAAAUACGAACUCGAAUCCAAUUCGAAUUUAAAAUUAUUUUAUAUUAUAAAUUAAAAAAUAGAGUUUCGUUUCAAAAAGCAAUGAAAAAAGCUAUAUAAUAAUAUAUAAUUGUAAUAUAUUUUAAAAUAUAUUGUAAAGAGAAAUAAUUGUUUUGAUUUCGGAUCUUCACGCUCGGAUUCGGGUCUCAAAUUUUUGGUCGGGUUUGAGUUUGGGUAUGGAUUUUCAAAAUCUAUCGGAUUCGGGUUCAAGUUUGGUUUCGGGUUCAAUUUAAGAUUUUUGAAAUUUCAUCCCGAAUCUGAUCCAUUGACAUCCCUAGUUAGAAAAGAUCUAAGGAAAAAGCUACUUGGCCCUACUUCCAAACACGGCUAUACAUGCGCCCUUAAAAAUUUAUAUGACUUACAUCACAGCAUCCUACGGUAGAGACUUUUUUUUUUCGUCUAUCAUAAUUAUAUGACAAGGAAAGCCAAUCCACCCUAGAAUAGGUGAGGGUACAUCAUACAUCUUGUCAAAUGUGCAAUUAGCUUUUUUCAAUUUUUUAAUUAUCACGUGAUGUGAAUGAUGUGUUAUGUAAAAAUUUUAUCUUCUAAAUAAGUAUGAUGUAUGAUAUACCAAUUUCAGAGUGUAUAAAACUUUUUUUUUUAAUUUAAUCUUUUAAAAAUUUAUAAUUUGUCAAAUGAUCUUUUAAAAAUUGGUCAAAUAAUUUUGUUUUGUCAUUAAUAAAAUUAAAAAAAGGGUGAAUUAUUUACCGUCUUUAUGUUAAUAAAAAAAAUUUAUUGUUUCUUUCUAUUUCCUAUAUAUAAUUCUAACAAUUACAUAAAAAGAUUAACAAAUCAUAUAUAAUCGUAACAAUCUAAAAAAUUCUAACAAUUUACCCAUAUAAUUAUCACAUUCCUUACAACCUAAAAAGUUUCUAAUUGUUAAGCCAAUUCGGCGCGAACAGCUGGCACACUGGGCCCAUGCAAGAGUCACAGUCUUGAUGUGCGCCGGGAGUAUUAGGGAAGAUAUGAACCGCGCUAAAUUGACGGAGUUACAAUAACUGCAAGCAGUUGCAGGCGGUUCCAAUCAGUUGAAAGUGGUCCGGAAAGUC